CAGGAAACAGGCAUCUGUGUUGUGGCACUUUUCCUUGUGGAAGAGCCCCUCACCUAUUUGGCAUUUGUAUUGUCAUGAGGUGUUGAAGCCUUGUUUCACUGAUUGGAAGACUGGACCUAAAUGGCGCAGCAUGACUUUGCUCCAGCCUGGCUUAAUUUUCCUACUCCACCACCAUCAUCAAAGGUUAUUUGUGCUAUUUAUUAAAUUACUAAUGUAGGAAAAUUUCCCUUUCCCUUUCUUUAAUUUACCUUGCAAUGGUAGGCGCUACAGCCAUCUAGAACAGGUUUUCAAGGAAGUAUUGAGGGACUGGAUAAAGAAGGAAAUUUUAACCCAGAUGUUUGGUGCAAUGUGGGAAUUCUGCC
rnacentral:lncRNA from 1 species